AUGUAUAUUUCUUAUUUAAUAAGGUGUAAUCCUUCUGGAGCCACAAGAACUUUAAGCCAAGUCAAAAUGAAACACAAAAACAUUCUGCAAAAAGCUAACAGAAAGAAGACUGAAGCCCGUCUAACUGGCGGGGGGCCACCACCACCUCCCCUCACCCCAUCUGAGGAGCUGGCUCUGUCCCUUAAUAAAGGGCGACCAGUGGUUGCUGGCAUUCCAGGGGGCAGUUCAUCACACAUACUAUGCACCACAAGUGAUGGUGAAAAAAGGGUGAAAUAUACUGAUGGACGGAUUGUAUUAUUGGACUCUCCAGAAAGAACACAGUCUGUCACAGUUGAUGAAGAUGAUGAUGACGAUGAAGAGACCACAUCUGCUGUGACAGAAGUGGACAAUGCUGGUAGAUCCACUGAGUACAUACCUAGGGAUUUGCCCACAGAUGAGGGUCCUUCAGCCUCAGCACACAAUCUAAGCAGGUUGCCAGCAAAGGAGCUGUAUAAGGUCCAUCUUCAAAAACAAAUAAGAAAAAGUGACAUGGUGAUGGACCUUAUACAGCUUCAAAUGGAAGAGAAAAGGCUCCUCAUUAAAAAAGCAGCACUUGAAAUAGAAUUACUUGAGAAUCGCCUUAAGGUGAGAACUUGUCUGAAUAUUAAUCUGUUGCAUGUUAAAAGUGGUCUGUCUGUCUGUCUGUGUCUGUCUCUAUCUAUCUAUCUAUCUAUCUAUCUAUCUAUCUGUAUGUAUGUAUGUAUAUAUGUAUGUAUGUAUGUGUAAAGCAAUAUAAAAAAACAUUUUAAUGAAUUUUACUUUUAUUGUUUUUCAGGAAAUGAAGAAAUAAACUGCCUGGCAGACCAGUGCA
ensembl:lncRNA